CAUCAGCAAACAUGCAUAAUUUAGGUUCUAUACUUUUACCCCCCUCACCAGGUAUUUGAAUCCCUUCAAUCUCCUUGUUACCUCGUAUUGCACAUGCCAUUGGUUCUGCUUGCAAAAUAUAUAUAAGGGGUGGUAUUGGACAGCCCUGUCUGGCCGACCGUGUUAUCGAAAAAUAUUUUGAAACAUGUCCAUUUGUUUUUAUACAAGUAAUAGCAUCAUAGAGUAACAUUUUGAUCCAUUGUCUAAAUUUCCCCCCAAAAUUAAACUUUUCUAAUACAAAAUCCACCCAUUCCCAUUCAACUCUA
rnacentral:lncRNA from 1 species